rnacentral:rRNA from 1 species
AUGACCGUGCAAAGGUAGCAUAAUCAUUAGUCUUUUAAUUGAGGGCUUGUAUGAAAGGUUUCACAAGAGAUAUACUGUCUUUUAUAUAAAAAUUGAAUUUAACUUUUAAGUGAAAAGGCUUAAAUAAUUCAAAGGGAAGAUAAGACCCUAUAAAGUUUUAUAAAAGGUAAAUUUUUACUAAUUAUUUAAAAGAAUAAGAUUUACUGUGUUUAUUAAGUUGGGGCAACUUAAAUAUAAUUAUUAUUAAUUAUUUAUAAAUUAUAAUACAAAUAUAUUUGUUUAAGAUUAAAUGAUCCUUUGGUUGUUUUAAUGAUUAGAAGAUUAAAUUACUUUAGGGAUAACAGCGUUAUUUUUUUUGAGAGUUCUUAUCGAAAAAAGAGUUUGCGACCUCGAUGUUGAAUUAAAAUUUCUAUAUGGUGCAGUUGUUAUAUAAGAAGGUCUGUUCGACCUUUAAUAUUUUACAUGAUUUGAGUUCAGACCGGUGUAAGCC